rnacentral:lncRNA from 1 species
AAAUAGAUCUAGAAUUAGGGUUUCUUGUCGCCCUUUUCCCCUUUACUCUCAGACCCAAACACAAACAGAAUACUGAACACACGCAGUCUCCACUCUCCAGCCACUAGCAGCACCAACACACGCACUACCGUCAUCAGUCUUUCAGUUGCGGCUCGCCAUUUCACUGUCGCCCGUCCUCAAAACUUGCUUCAAAUCAUACCAUUACUAUUAUUAUCUUUUGUUUAGAAUGAAAAUUGUAUAUGAUGCACGAUCAUAUUGUCUCUUAAUUUGAUUUUAAAGGUUAUUUCUUUUAUCUGUUUACUAGGUUAUAACCCCAUGUAUUACACGAGUUAACUAAAUAAAAAAUCAAAUAGUUAAUAACAAAGAUUUAACAAUUAGAAAACGAUAUUUUUAAGACGCGUUUCUGAUAUGCAAACAAAAUUUUGUGUCAUUCAUGAUCAAAACAUGUGAUGUUUGUCAAGUUUACAAAUAUGAAAGCAUUUGAAUCAUCGAUUAGAAGACCACCUUUAACAUCGACUUUCCUCACAAGUUUUAACAGUCAUGUGAACAUACAUUUCAUAACCAAAGUUUUAUUUAAAUAAUAGUGGUCUUAGUUUAUUAGUUCUAAGAAAAUGUUGAAAUAUCUAGAUUAGGCAUAUAACAAUUAGCCAAAUAGAUAACUUUUAGCUAUAAAAUAAUAUUUAAAUUGAAAUUAAUCAAAUAAGUAUAAAUUAUCGGUAAUUAUUAAAUUAUAUAACUUUAAAAUUUAAUAUUCUUCUGCAGUCAUUCUCGUUUGGUGUAGGUGGAUCCCAUUAAAAUGUAACAUCUUCAUUUGGAGGGCGAUUAAUGAGAGGAUCCCAACAAAGACCGCGCUGGUCACGAGGAACGUUUACAUGGCUAGUACGAUUUGUCAACUUUGUGAAGAAGGUCAAGAAUCGGCGACCCACUUGUUUAAAGGUUGCGGUUGGACAUGUGGUAUUUGGCAGGGGGUUACAAGAUGGUGCGGUAUCCCGGAUAUUUUAGUGUUUUGACACUAAAGAGUUGGUCGAGGUGUUCAAGAGUUGUGGUCGUGCACCGAUUUAAAAAGAGGCGAUUCAAGGUAUUAUGAUCAUUACCUGGCGUAUAUGGAAGGCCCGGAAUGAAUUGAUAUUUGGAGGUAAAGAAGCAAAAAUGGCGGAGAUAAUCUCGGACAUAAAGGCGUUUGGUUUUUUGUGGUAUUAACAUAGGCAUAAGGAUAAUUAUUGUGAUUGGGAAUCAUGGUGUAAAUUCAACUUGAUGUAAUGAGUGUUUUAUAGCCUGCUUAUUCUCCGCCUUAAAGACGAGUUUGCCAGUUUUUUAAUAAAGUUUAAUUUAAAAAAAAAAUCUUAGCAGAUGGUUAAAGAGCACUUUUUUUGUCGAAGUAGAUAGAGCCUUAUCUAUUUACACGUGUAGUUAAUUACUUGACUAUUUUAUGGACCCGCUAAUAUUUGUUUUGGCAAAAUUUUAGCCUCUUAGGACCACUUUAUUUAUAUAUGGCUUCAGUUCUCGAGGUGUCGGUUUAGCAGGAACGAUGAGUUCCGGCUCAUGUCUCCGGACGGUGAAUGUCAAUGGAGUGGUGGUGGUUUGUUGAGACAUAUCUAGUUAGUUAGCUAGCUUUGUUAUGGU